GGCGUCCGCGAUGUUUACGGUGAGGAUACUGCCACUGAGGAUCAGCUUGUCACGCCUUGGUCCCUUUCGGUUGCUAGUGGAUAUUCUUUGUUGCGAGAUCCACACCACAACAAAGGACUUGCCUUCAAUGAUAAAGAAAGAGAUGCCCACUACUUGCGUGGCCUUCUCCCCCCAGCUGUGGUUUCUCAGGAGGUUCAGGUGAAGAAACUGAUGCACAUUAUUCG
rnacentral:misc_RNA from 1 species